rnacentral:tRNA from 1 species
GUUUUAAUAAUUUAAAUAAAAUAUUGAUUUUGUAAAUCAAAAAUAAGAUCCCUUUUAAAACU